rnacentral:rRNA from 1 species
AGUGAACGCUGGCGGUAGGCCUAACACAUGCAAGUCGAACGGCAGCACAGUAAGAGCUUGCUCUUACGGGUGGCGAGUGGCGGACGGGUGAGGAAUACAUCGGAAUCUACUUUUUCGUGGGGGAUAACGUAGGGAAACUUACGCUAAUACCUCAUACGACCUACGGGUGAAAGCAGGGGAUCUUCGGACCUUGCGCGAUUGAAUUAGCCGAUGUCGGAUUAGCUAGUUGGCGUGGUAAAGGCCUACCAAGGCGACGAUCCGUAGCUGGUCUGAGAGGAUGAUCAGCCACACUGGAACUGAGACACGGUCCAGACUCCUACGGGAGGCAGCAGUGGGGAAUAUUGCGCAAUGGGCGAAAGCCUGACCCAGCAAUGCCGCGUGAGUGAAGAAGGCCUUCGGAUCGUAAAGCUCUGUUGUUAGGAAAGAAAAGAAGUAGGAUUAAAUAUGGACGUCUUGACGGUACCCAAUGAAAAAGCACCGGCUAACUACGUG